AAUAUUAUUUAUAUUUGUAUAUAAGCCUGAUCUCGUCAGAUGUCAGAAGCUAAGCAGGGCUGAGCACUGGUUGGUACUUGGAUGGGAGACCACUGGUAAUAUCAGGUGCCACAAUUG
rnacentral:rRNA from 1 species